AUGUGGUGCAGAGUGGUAGGCGGCAGUAUUGCAGCUAAAACUCCCCCCAUGACCCAAGUUUGAUUCCAGCAGAAGCUGGAUUCUCGGGCAGCCGGCUCAGGUCGACUCAGCCUUCCAUCCUUCCGGGGUCGGUAAAAUGAUACCCAGCUCACUGGGGAAGGUGACGACUGGGGAAGGCAAUGGCAAACCACCCCACUAUAGUCUGCCAAGAAAACAUC